rnacentral:rRNA from 1 species
UACGGAGGACGCGAGCGUUAUCCGGAUUUAUUGGGUUUAAAGGGAGCGCAGGCCGGUUGGUAAGCGUGACGUGAAAUGUAGCCGCUCAACGGCUGAACUGCGUCGCGAACUGCCAGUCUUGAGUGAGUUCGAUGUGGGCGGAAUUCGCGGUGUAGCGGUGAAAUGCUUAGAUAUCACGAAGAACUCCGAUCGCGAAGGCAGCCCACAAGGCCUUUACUGACGCUAAAGCUCGAAGGUGCGGGUAUCGAAC